CGUAAAAAGAGACUUAUAAUUUGACUGGAGGAAGGUAGAAGUACUUUACACACUGAGCUGCUCUACAGCACCGCCAUGAUCUCAGAAUGGGUCUUAUAUGUGAUGUUUUACCUGCUUGCUGCUGUUUUCUCUGCCUUCCUUGCAUAUUGUCUGUAUAUUCAUUAUGUUCACCAGAAAUAUGAUCAUAUACCCGGACCUCCAAGAGACAGUUUUCUGCUGGGGCAUAUACCUACUUUUUCCAAAGCGGCGAAAUCGGAUAAUCUUAUACAAGAUUUAUUUCUUCAGUGGGCAGAAAAAUAUGGCCCUGUCUACAGGCUGAACAGUUUUCAUUAUGUUGUGAUCAAAGUCCAUUGCCCCGAGGCUACAAAAACAAUGCUGAUGUCACCUAAGUAUCUCAAAGAUCCCUUUGUCUACAAACGCCUCUUUAACCUGUUUGGAAAACGGUUCCUUGGAACCGGGUUAGUGACGGCUAUGGACCAUGACGUCUGGUACAGGCAGCGUCGCAUCAUGGAUCCGGCUUUUAGCAGCACAUACUUACGAAGCUUGAUGGGCACUUUUAAUGAGAUGUCUGAGCGCCUAAUGGACCAUCUGCAGGAAAUAGCCGACACAAAAACACCUGCCAUCAUGCAUGACCUGGUCAACUGUGUCACACUCGACGUCAUUUGCAAGGCGGCAUUUGGUGUUGAUUUAAAUUUGUUCAAGCAAACUGAUACCCCCUUCCAGAAGGCAAUAGAUCAGUGUUUAAAGGGCAUGGUAUUCUAUCUCAGAGACCCAUUUUUUACCUUUUUUCCAAAGAACUGGAAGACUGUACAACAAACUAAAGAUGCGACUGAACUCCUGCGGAACACGGGAGAGAAAUGGAUACAAAAAAGGAAGACAGCAAUAGAAAAUGGAGAAGACGUCCCGAAAGACAUUCUCACACAAAUCCUCAAAACAGCAGAGGAGGAAAACGUUAAUAACACAAAAGAUCGUGAGCAGAUGUUGGACAAUUUUGUGACUUUCUUCAUUGCUGGUCAAGAGACAACAGCCAAUCAGCUCUCAUUUGCAAUCAUGGAAUUAGGGAGACAUCCUGAGAUAUAUAAACGGGCUAAAGCAGAGGUAGAUGAAAUCCUUGGGACAAAAAGAGACAUUUCAUAUGAAGACCUUGGAAAAUUCACCUACUUGUCUCAGGUGUUGAAGGAAACACUGCGUCUGUACCCAACUGCUCCAGGAACCAGUCGUUGGCUACAUGAGGACAUGGUUAUAAAUGGGUUCAAAAUUCCAGGGGGGCUGUGCUGUUAUUUUUAGUUCUUAUGUUUCCCAAAGACUGGAAAAGUUUUUUAAAGAUCCAUUGAAGUUUGAUCCAGAGAGAUUUAAUUUGAAUGCCCCAAAGCCUUAUUACUGCUACUAUCCAUUUGCCCUUGGUCCACGAACUUGUUUGGGACAGGUCUUCUCACAGAUGGAGGCAAAAGUUGUGCUUGCCAAACUGCUUCAGAGAUUUGAGUUCAAUCUGGUUCCUGGACAGUCUUUCGACAUUAAAGACACGGGAACCCUGCGGCCCAAGAGCGGAGUGAUCUGCUACAUUAAACACUGCUCAUAGGCCCUUGUUUUGUAGCAACUCUUGUGCACUUAUGUUUGCAUUUAUCAUCUUGUCAUCAAGAGUUUUAUAGCUGCUCCUAAGGCUAAAUAAGUCUUAACUGUGACAGAUAACUACUGCUUCUAUUUUUUUUUAUCAUUUGCAGUCAACUUUAUUUACACUAGACAAUUUAAUAAUAAUUUUAAAGGUCUUACAUAAUGACAUGUAGACAUUUGUUUCAUAAUUUUCACCUGUCGUUUUUCACAUUUUAAAGUUUGUGUCCUUUUAUCCUUGUAUCCAUCGUUAAAUCACCUACAGUCCUUUACACAUAUUCCAACUGAAAUUUAAAAUGUAAAAUACUUCAACCCUGACCUCUAUAUUCAUUACAAAAUGUAAGGAUAAUAAUUUCAUGUUUUCAGUUUUCUUUUUCUGUAAUGAAUAAAUUUCUGUCCUUUAUAGAAAGCA